rnacentral:lncRNA from 1 species
AGUGAAAGGUAUUCAGGGAGAGGACAACGUCGCCCCACUGAACAAUUUACUGCCCUUCUCUGGGAAUUCCACAUGAUCCAGAUAGUCUCAAAGAAAAUCUGAUCCUUUCAUCCAUUCUGGGAACCCCGAGCGACUCUCCAGCUGAGCGGCGCAAAGCCGGACACCUUCACACCUUUGAAAACUGCAUAAUUAUCACCUCACCUAAUAUGAUGUUUUUGAGCUGUGGGAGGAAUCCUGAGCCACUAAAGCAAACACUUGUCCACAGAGAAAAAUCCUGCACUCUCCCAACACAGGAGCUUAAGAUGAAAUUUGAACUGGCAACCUUUGUGUGGGCCGACAAAACAACCAGUUUUUUCAAUGAUUAUUAAGAUUUUAAUACAUGUAAAAGCUACAAGUAAAAGCAAUCCUAUUAGCUUAGAAUCAAGGGCAUAGAGAAAAUGCUUUUUGUUUAGUGAGAAUGCUUCAAAGGUUGAACUACAUGAGUCUUUGCAUCGAUUUACUGCUUCACGG